GAUGAACGCUGGCGGCGUGCCUAAUACAUGCAAGUCGAGCGAACAGACGAGGAGCCUGCUCCUUUGACGUUAGCGGCGGACGGGUGAGUAACACGUGGGUAACCUACCUAUAAGACUGGGAUAACUUCGGGAAACCGGAGCUAAUACCGGAUAAUAUUUCGAACCGCAUGGUUCGAUAGUGAAAGAUGGCUUUGCUAUCACUUAUAGAUGGACCUGCGCCGUAUUAGCUAGUUGGUAAGGUAACGGCCUACCAAGGCAACGAUACGUAGCCGACCUGAGAGGGUGAUCGGCCACACUGGAACUGAGACACGGUCCAGACUCCUACGGGAGGCAGCAGUAGGGAAUCUUCCGCAAUGGGCGAAAGCCUGACGGAGCAACGCCGCGUGAGUGAUGAAGGUCUUCGGAUCGUAAAACUCUGUUAUUAGGGAAGAAUAAACGUGUAAGUAACUGUGCACGUCUUGACGGUACCUAAUCAGAAAGCCACGGCUAACUACGUG
rnacentral:rRNA from 1 species